rnacentral:lncRNA from 1 species
UGUGAAGAGCUUUUAUACUCUUUUAUUUUUGAUUCUUAACCUCUGCUAAGCAACGCUUUAAACAAUUUAGCAUUUUAUAAUGGUGAAUGAUCAGAUAGACAUAACCAUAUCGUAUGUAAUUAUCUAUUAAAGUAAAAAAGUAAUAGGUAUCAUGGUGUGCCUUCACAUUCAUUGGUCCAUAAAUAUCAGAAUGGAUUAGCCCAAGGUUGAGUAGCUUUUUUGAUUUUUUUCAAAAGACUUUGUACAUGCCUUGUCAGCCAUACAAGGCUCACAUAUAGGCAAGUUUAUUUUAACGAGUAGGCCCAAUAAGCCUUCUCCAGCUAAUUUUGUCAUUCUGUCUUAUCCUAUAUGCCCCAACAAAGCAUGUCAAAUGACAUAGUCAAUAUCAUCAUCAAGCACAA